rnacentral:lncRNA from 1 species
AGCAUGAUGAACAAUGGUACUAAAAUAGUUUGUCGUUGAAAAUGAACAAUGCAUACACUUUUCAAUAUAUGCUAGCCAAUGAUGCGACCCAGUAGAGUAGAAAUGAGGGGACUGGAUCGAACCCCUGCCUAGCAAAGAUGACAAUUUCCCCUUUGUGUUCAAAAAGCAUCAUUAACGACCAGGUCUAUUAAAUAAGUUUACUAGCACAACUGUUCAUUCCUAUGUAUUACUAUGUAUCCAGAAAGAAAAAAAAACCACCAAACAUUUGAAUAUAUUUAUUUGUUAACUUUAAUCCAUGACAAACUACAAUUCAUUCAUUUAACAUAGUAAUGUAAAUAGCAUUGAACGUAAGCCUGUAUAUAAUUCCUC